rnacentral:tRNA from 1 species
GGGGGCGUAGCUCAGUUGGGAGAGCGCCUGCUUUGCAAGCAGGAGGUCGCCGGUUCGAGCCCGGUCGUCUCCACCA